ACGCACGCUGGCGGCAUGCCUAACACAUGCACGUCGAACGAGACCUUCGGGUCUAGUGGCGCACGGGUGCGUAACGCGUGGGAACCUGCCCUUAGGUUCGGAAUAACUCCCCGAAAGGGGUGCUAAUACCGGAUAAUGUCUUCGGACCAAAGAUUUAUCGCCUUUGGAUGGGCCCGCGUUGGAUUAGCUAGUUGGUAGGGUAAAAGCCUACCAAGGCGACGAUCCAUAGCUGGUCUGAGAGGAUGAUCAGCCACACUGGGACUGAGACACGGCCCAGACUCCUACGGGAGGCAGCAGUGGGGAAUAUUGGACAAUGGGCGAAAGCCUGAUCCAGCAAUGCCGCGUGAGUGAUGAAGGCCUUAGGGUUGUAAAGCUCUUUUACCCGGGAUGAUAAUGACAGUACCGGGAGAAUAAGCUCCGGCUAACUCCGUG
rnacentral:rRNA from 1 species